CACCGCCACACGCCGAUGCCGCCGAGCGUCUCUCCGAGAUCCCCAGCGCUGCGAGCCCGCUGCCGCCGCGGGGAUCGCUCGGCCUCCGCCGCGGAUCUUCCCGGAGAUUGAGUGACUCCUCAUAACAACAGUAAAAAAGCAGAGGAAAUGAAACCUAAGCUAACCUGUGGUGUUGCAAAUGUGAGAAAGCCUAAUGACUGCACCGAGCUCGCUUAGAGAGAAUGAAGCAGCAGAUCAAGAAGCCCUGAGGACACGUGAUGUAGGCAGCCCACUUGUGGAGUUCAGCACUUCCAUGUGAAUGGAUGUAAUGUCAGUAUAUCCUGACAGUUCCAAGGAUCUUCAAGCACUCUGUAAAUAUGAAUUCCAUCAUUCACACUCUGGAGCGAUGAAUCCAGCAUUAUACCUACUUUACAGUUUGGGUUUACCACGUGAUAAGCUCAAGGUCACAGAGAAAAGAAGCUUGGAAUAAACCAGCAUAUAACUCCUGG
rnacentral:lncRNA from 7 species